GUAGACGUCACCGCUCUUGCGAGCAUAGAGGUUUCCUGCUGACCUGGGACUGUGUGCGCCCGGCCACGGAGGGGAAGGAACUGGAGGGGAAGGCAUUGCGGGCUCGGGCUCGGGAGAGCCGCAGGGCUCCCUGGGAUCCCGAGGGAGCGAUGGAGAGCGAGAAAUCCUGACCGUCGGAGCCCAUCUUCCAUGGCACGACGGUGAAGUUCAGACCGGAACUGUGAAAAGCACAGCGCCACAUCAAACCGCUGGGUACCACCCCUGUCCCGGAAUGCUGUGAUGCAAAGAACAUGCCCUGACUAGCCUGCUGAUCCAAAGACAAUGAGAUAUAUGUGGAGCAGACUUGGACCCAACACGUGGCUCUGGAGAAAUAGGAUCAUUCGCCCAGCAGUCUGCUUUGGAGUGAGGCAAACCUACCAAGAUUAGAUUAAAGACUUCUCUGCUUCCUUGUUGGUCAUGAGUACUGAGCAAAGUCUAUUCUGCUUAUCUACAACACCCUAAUCAGCC